GACGAACGCUGGCGGCGUGCUUAACACAUGCAAGUCGAACGGAAAGGCCCUGCUUUUGUGGGGUUCUCGAUUGGCGAACGUGUGAGUAACACGUGAGUAACCUGCCCUUGACUUUGGUAUAACUUCAGGAAACUUGGGCUAAUACCUGAUAGUAGCUCCUGCUGCAUUGUGGGGGUUGGAAAGUUUCGGCGGUUGGGGAUUGACUCGCGGCUUAUCAGCUUGUUGGUGGGGUAGUGGGUUACCAAGGCUUUGACGGGUAGCCGGCAUGAGAGGGUGACCGGCCACAUUGGGACUGAGAUACGGAACAGACGAGUACGGGAGGCAGCAGUGGGGAAUAGUGAAAAAUGGGCGGAAGCAUGAUGCAGAAACGCCGCGUGCGGGAUGAAGGCCUUCGGGUUGUAAAAAGAAUUCGAAUGUGACGAAGCGUGAGUGACGGUAAUGGGUAAAGAAGCACCGGCUAACUACGUG
rnacentral:rRNA from 1 species